rnacentral:rRNA from 1 species
GAUGAACGCUGGCGGCGUGCUUAACACAUGCAAGUCGAACGGGAAACCUUUUAUUGAAGCUUCGGCAGAUUUAGCUGGUUUCUAGUGGCGGACGGGUGAGUAACGCGUGGGUAACCUGCCUUAUACAGGGGGAUAACAACCAGAAAUGGUUGCUAAUACCGCAUAAGCGCACAGGACCGCAUGGUCCGGUGUGAAAAACUCCGGUGGUAUAAGAUGGACCCGCGUUGGAUUAGCUAGUUGGCAGGGUAACGGCCUACCAAGGCGACGAUCCAUAGCCGGCCUGCGAGGGUGAACGGCCACAUUGGGACUGAGACACGGCCCAGACUCCUACGGGAGGCAGCAGUGGGGAAUAUUGCACAAUGGGGGAAGCCCUGAUGCAGCGACGCCGCGUGAAGGAAGAAGUAUCUCGGUAUGUAAACUUCUAUCAGCAGGGAAGAUAGUGACGGUACCUGACUAAGAAGCCCCGGCUAACUACGUG